rnacentral:rRNA from 1 species
AUUGAACGCUGGCGGCAGGCUUAACACAUGCAAGUCGAACGAGUGGCGGACGGGUGAGUAAUGCUUGGGAAUCUAGCUUAUGGAGGGGGAUAACUACGGGAAACUGUAGCUAAUACCGCGUACCAUAGGAUGAGCCCAAGUGGGAUUAGGUAGUUGGUGAGGUAAAGGCUCACCAAGCCGACGAUCUCUAGCUGGUCUGAGAGGAUGACCAGCCAAACGGGGACUGAGACACGGCCCAGACUCCUACGGGAGGCAGCAGUGGGGAAUAUUGCGCCAUGGGCGCAGCCUGAGGAAGCCCUGCCGCGGGAAUGAAGAAGUCCUUCUGGUUGUCAAGUUCUUUCCGCAGCGAGGCGUUAUCCUCAGAAGAAGCACCGGCUAACUCCGUGCCAGCAGCCGCGGUAAUUC